CCUACGGGAGGCAGCAGUGGGGAAUAUUGCACAAUGGGGGAAACCCUGAUGCAGCGACGCCGCGUGAGUGAAGAAGUAUUUCGGUAUGUAAAGCUCUAUCAGCAGGGAGGAAAAUGACGGUACCUGAUUCAGAAGCCCCGGCUAACUACGUGCCAGCAGCCGCGGUAAUACGUAGGGGGCAAGCGUUAUCCGGAUUUACUGGGUGUAAAGGGAGCGUAGACGGCAGCACAAGUCUGGAGUGAAAUGCCGGGGCUUAACCCCGGAACUGCUUUGGAAACUGUGCAGCUAGAGUGCAGGAGAGGUAAGUGGAAUUCCUAGUGUAGCGGUGAAAUGCGUAGAGAUUAGGAGGAACACCAGUGGCGAAGGCGGCUUACUGGACUGUAACUGACGUUGAGGCUCGAAAGCGUGGGGAGCAAACAGGAUUAGAUACCCCUGUAGUC
rnacentral:rRNA from 1 species